UUCUUUUUUUUUUUUUUUUUUUUUUUUUUUGCAGUACGCGGGUCUCUCACUGCUGUGGCCUCUCCCGUUGCGGAGCACAGGCUCUGGAUGCGCAGGCUCAGCAGCCAUGGCUCAUGGGCCCAGCCGCUCCAUGGCAUGUGGGAUCUUCCCGGACUGGGGCACGAAUCCGUGUCCCCUGCAUCGGCAGGCGGACUCUCAACCACUGCGCCUCCAGGGAAGCCCAUCCAUUUAAUUUUCUUAAUGGUAUCCUCUGGCAAGUGAAAGUUUAAUUUUGGCUACAACACAAUGGAGAAUACCUUAAGAAAAGAAAAUGAUCCCCCCCCGCAAGGUGUACAAAUCAUAAUCUCCAGAACAUGUGACUUCCCAGAACCUCACAUGACAAAAGGGAUUUGCAGAGCCUUGCCAACAGAUUAUGUUGUCAAAGUUUUGGAUUUUUGCCAGUGUAGAUUUAUCCACUGAAAUACUCCGAGAGCAGUUAACACCUCAGUAAAAAUGAAUACUCCUGAUCAGUUCCCACUGAAAGAAAUCAGAGAUCUUUGAGGAAAUUGUUGACUUCAGAUCUGGAGCAUAGAAAAUGCAAGAUAUGGACACUGAGACUCUUAGAAAUGGCAUUCAUCGAGCCCCUAAUGUAUGCUAGGCAUGGUUACAGGUCUCCCCAGCAAGACUGUCGGCCACUCAGGGACAGGGAUUUUGCUUUUUCAGCCAUCCAAUGCACACCUAGCAUCUAGUUUGAAGCCUGUACACAGUAGACACUGAAUAACUAUUUGCAGAAUGCUGUAUUGUGGACAAAAUCAGACAUGAUGCCUGACUUCAACUAACAGCCUAGUGAGAGAGGCAUAUAUUAAUCAAAUAAUCACAGAGGCAAAUGGAAAAUUAUAAAUUGAUAAGUGCUUAAAAUAGAGCACGUGAUUUUAUGAGAACUUACAGUAGAAGGAUGAGACUUACCUAGAGGACUCAGGAAAGAUGUUCCCAAGAGGAGUGCAACUGAGCUGAGAUCUGAAAGGUGAGGAACAGUUACCAGGAGAGGAGAGGUGAGCAGCUCCUUGCAGUAAAUGAGAACGGUUUGUGAAAAAGCUUUGUUGUGAGAUUGAGUAUGAUGGAUUGGAGCAACAGUCCUCAACUGGGGGACAUACGGCAAAGUCUGGAGAUAUUUUGAGUUGGCGUAACAGAGGAAGGUUGUGCUACUCGUAUCUAGUGGGUAGAGACCAGAGAUGCUGCUAUACAUCCUGUAAAGAGCAUGACAACUGACCACCAUAAAGAAUUAUACAACCAAAAUGUCAAGAGUGCCAAAGCUGAGAAACCCUGGGUUUGAGAAUUGCUUCUCAAACAUUUUUACUCCAGUAAGAAAUAUAUUUCACAACAUAAUCCAGUAAACAUAUACAUAAAAUAAAAAGCAUUCACAUAAAAUAACAUUUACCCUUUUACUUGUGCUGUUAUCUUCUGUUCGGUUCUAUUUCAUGUUUUUUAAUAUUGGUCUCAAUUCACUGAAUUUGUUCCAUGACACACUGUAAGUCUCAAUCUGCAGUUAGAAAAAUUGUAUGUUGAAGGACCUGAGAGAAGGUCCAAUUGGCUGGACCUCGGAUAUCAAGGGGAAGAAUGGGAACUAGUAGAAACGGUGAGGCAGGCAGCACUAAGACUCUUCAUGGGCUCACAGACAACAUUAAAGA